UGCUGCUUUGAAAAUUUUCCAAAAGUUUGGAGACUUCUUCUGGUUCUGGUUCUGGUACUGGAUGGACUGACGAUGCUCUGUCUUCUUGCCCUCCCCCAACUUGUUUCUAGUCCAGCAAACAGAGAGAAGCCAUCAACCAUGAGCCCUUUCUUCCUAGAACUUGUCAGCAGCUCCCAGUAGGAUCUGUGAGUCCAGCCAGUGUGAGGUUGUCUCAAAGUGACCAAGGUUGUUCAGAAAGACAUCCUUUUGAGUAGUCUUAGCAGCGCUUAAAAGAGGAUCUAACACAGGAAGGAGUUUGGCGUGCAGCAGCUCCGUUUGGUGUGAACGUUACAGCAGUCAUAGCCUCCAUAGAAGCUGUGAUCUUUACGACUGCAUUGAAACUUCACUUCAUGCUUCCUCUGCCAUCAUCCUGACCAGGAUCCUCUGAUAAGGAGCUUCCUCUCUGAUAAAACAGGUUACGAAGAACAGCAACUCCAACAAACAUCACAAUACAUUUAUUAAAGUCUGCAGAUGAUGUGACAAAGUGUAAAAAAAAUUCAAGAGGUGUAAAUGUUAUUUUGCAAAUACAUUAAAGAGACAGUAUCAUUUGUUUUCCAGGCACAUAAUGGCAUUUUAUUGCGUAAUUGAGUUACUAUGUUACCUCCGGUGGUUAUAAAAAUGCUAUCAAAUAUGACGUAAAAUAAAUCUGACUUGAUAAUCUAAUCCGUGGAAAUUGGGCCUCUGUCUCUUUAAAAAUUCCUACUCUUUCUGAAAUUCCGCCUUCAUUAAGUCAUCACAGUAUCUGUCCUGUAUUAACCUUUAACAACGUAACAAGAAGUAGCUCCCAUAAUGAGCUCAUUAUACAUAGUUCCAGCAGGUGUUUGCUAAUUACUAAUGGCUAGUCUAAAGGAGUGGAGUAAAAAGCUUGGAAAACUGCAGCUCUUUGUUCUCGAAUUCAGAGCUAGGUCCACCCAGGCAUUUUGCGCAGCUGAAUGGUUGCCAUGGGAGAUUAAGAUCAAAGCAACACUCCAGGUACUUUUCUGAUGA